rnacentral:rRNA from 1 species
GAACAGAGCCCGUGAAUCCGGGCGCGCGGAAUUCAGGACCGACGGCCGGGCGCGCUUCGCGGCUCGCUCGGUCGUCGAUUCGAUAUUUCCGCCGCCGACCCUCAACCGAGGGUGUCGGACGUCGCGACCCGUUCGCCCGUCGAUGCUCAGGAGCGCGUUUCAAGUUCGUUUGCGCGGCCGUUUCGGCGGUCGCGCGGCGAUGGCGCGUUUCCGCUGCGUCGGCGCGGACGGUAGCUUUGCGCGCGGGUAAUCGGCGCGGUCCUUCGCCCGGCGUCUCGUACGUCGGGCGGCGCUCGCGUCGACGCCGGUCAGCGACGA